UGCACUGCAAUUUAUUCCUGCUGAUAUGUUCAAAGGACAGUGCAAUAGAAAUUCAAUAUCUGGCAUUUCUGGUUUUCUUGGCUUUGCACAGUUAAACUUGGUAUUUCUUUUCUUUCCUUU